rnacentral:misc_RNA from 1 species
GAUGAAGAACGCAGCGAAAUGCGAUAAGUAAUGUGAAUUGCAGAAUUCAGUGAAUCAUCGAAUCUUUGAACGCACAUUGCGCCCGCCAGUAUUCUGGCGGGCAUGCCUGUUCGAGCGUCAUUUCAACCCUCAAGCCCAGCUUGGUGUUGGGGAUCGGCACAGGCGCCCUCGGGCGCCCGCCGUCCCCUAAAUCUAGAGGCGGUCCCGCUGCAGCCUCCUCUGCGUAGUAGUUUUCUCCUCGCAAGGGCAGCUCGGUGGCGACCUCGCCGUAAAACCCCCAACUUCUGAAAGGUUGACCUCGAAUCAGGUAGGAAUACCCGCUGAACUUAAGCAUAUCAAUAAGCGGAGGA